AAUAUUCUUCAAUGGAGGCAUCUCUGAACCAGCCAUGCCGCGUUCUGGAUGACGGNCCNNUGGAUNGNUUACUGCUUUUGUCCNNNNNUCAUAUAUACUCCGUGUAGUACAUUCACGUUACUGUAAGAAUAUGUAUCGCCUAACUCCGUGCCCUCAACCGCGGUAAUACGUACGAUCCAAACGUUAUCCGGAACCAUUGGGUGUAAAGGGUCCGUAGGCGGACUUAUAAGUCAGCGGUGAAAGUUUUUGGCUUAACCAAAAAAUUGCCGAUGAUACUGUAGUGAUUGAAUUUUUGUGAAGUAACUAGAAUAUGUAGUGUAGCGGUGAAAUGCUUAGAUAAUACAUGGAAUACCAAUUGCGAAGGAAGAUUACUAACAAACGAUUGACGCAGAUGGACGAAAGCGUGGGUAGCGAACAG
rnacentral:rRNA from 1 species